GAAAGAACCGCAGAGCAAGGAAGAGGUGAUAUUAAUACUCAGCUUUCAUGUCCAAACGCCGCAUCAUGUGUUCACAAACUAAUUCUGGAACGUAUCCGGGCCAAGGUUGCACAGCGUCUGCAGCCGGCACAGUUUCCGCUGCCUGGCCGCGUGUCAGCCUCUGCAGUCAGCGUCUCUCCCGGCCAUCCCUGCUCCGGGCCCUGCGGCCCAUGUCUCUGCUGCGACACUCUUCGCCAGGCCAUAAACGUCUUCUUUCAGGGCUGCUACACUGAAUAAUAAUAAAGACUACAAGCAGAAUUUCUUGAGACUGUUUCAUGGAUAUGUUUACAGCGGUGUGGAAACUUUGGGGAAGGAGCUUUUUAUGUACUUUGGCCCAAGAGCUUUACGGAUUCAUUUUGGAAUGAAAGGCUCAGUCAGGAUUAAUCCACUUAAACAAAAAAAUAAAAAUGGAGUUUCUCCCGUUUUUGAAAUGCAGCUCACCAAAGAUCUGAUUUGUUUCUUUGACUCAUCAGUGGAGCUCAGAAAUUCAACAGAAAGCCAAUGGAGAAUAAGAAUGAUGGAGGAAUUAGAUGUAUGUUCACCUAAAUUUAGUUUCUUAAGAGCAGAAAGUGAAGUUAAAAAGCAGAAGGGACGGAUGUUAUGUGAUGUGUUGAUGGACCAGAAAGUGUUGCCUGGCGUGGGGAACAUCAUGAGAAACGAGGCUCUCUUUGACAGCGGUCUUCACCCAGCUAUUAAAGUUUGUCAGUUAACAGAUGAACAGACCCAUCACCUUGUGAAAAUGAUACGUGAUUUCAGCAUUCUUUUUUACAGGUGCCAUAAAACAGGAUCUGCUGUGUCCAAACACUAUAAGGUUUACAAGCGUCCUAACUGUGGUCAGUGCUGCUGCAAAAUAACUGUGUGUCGCUUAGGGGAGAAUAACAGAAUGACGUAUUUCUGUCCUCACUGUCAAAAAGAAAAUCCCCAACAGACUGACAUAUGCAAGCUGCCAGCUAGAAACACUAUGAUCAGUUGGACAUCUAUGAGAGGGGAUCAUUUUACGGACCAGGUGGCUCGGAAAUCUGAAGAGCAAUGGGCAUGUGUGGCCUGUACGCUGAUAAAUAAGCCUUCUUCUGAUACAUGUGAUGCUUGCCUGACUUCAAGGCCUAUUGAUUCAGUACUCAAGAAUGAAGAAAGUUGUCUUGCUCCUAACAACUUAGUGAACUACCCGUGUAACAGCUUUGGGAAACCAGGCACAGAAGUGAGGAUCAAAAGGAAAACUGCCUUUGGAACUGCAACACUUGUGUUGACCGAUUUUAGCAAUAACAACAGUGCUUUGGAAGGACAAAAAAGCCCAAACCAGAGACCAGAAGGGGAAUUUCAAAACACUCUUCCUCCAAAUGUUUGUUUUAGUGAUAGGCUGCACCCCUCCAAGGAGAGAACAAGCCGUCUAGCUCAGCUGUCUACUAAAGUCAGUGUAUCCUCGAUGGUCCGCUCCCCGUCUGAAUUAUGUAGUCCAGCAUAUAAAAAAUUGAAAACUGCCCAUUGCUUGUCACGAGAUGUCAAAAGUAGUGACCCUGGGUCUUCAAACAGUGAACAUCAAGUCACUAUGACAGAUGGUACUUGCACACUCAGAGCUGGCAGUCCUCGCUGCAGUAAACACAACCGCCUCUGCGUUCUCCGAGUUGUGAAGAAGGACAGUGAAAACAAGGGCAGGCAGUUCUACGCUUGUCCUCUUCCUGGAGAAGCACAAUGUGGAUUCUUUGAAGCCAUCCUGCUGUGGAUAAGAGUUUGGAAUCCAGACUAUGGAAACCUCACUCCUGCCCCAUCCGCAGAGUGGAGUGAUUGGCAGCUGGGCUGCCCACGCUGGACGGAGCAGAACUCACACAAAAUGCGGCCACCUGUGCGCCCGUGUCUCUCAGAUGCCACCAACCCUCAGCACAUUUUCUCUUAAGUUCAAUCAGCAGAACGGCGUUUUUGCGCUGGAAAGCACGUGGACUUUGGAGCCAUCCGACUCGGGAUUGUCACCGGGUAACUGAUGACCUUGGAAAUCAGUCUCUGGGCCUCUGUAAGGUGACCGUGCCGACAGCCUCCCCGGGUGAGAGACCAAAUGCUGAUGCUCACACAAAGCCCCCCAGUGCGGGCCCGCACCUGGAGUGGCUCAGGAGAAGCUCUGCCUCCAGAAUAAAUUGCCUUCGAAAUCUCUGACGAACUGCAGUGAAUAUUGAGCAUCAUUCUGACAGUGACGUUUCAUCUCUUCACGCGAGGGGACUGGUGAAAUCUUGGAAUUGUCACCGUGACAGCGAGUCGGGAAGCUGCCAGAGGAGCCCUGGUACGCAGUAACCCUGCCCUCACCUACGCAUCCCUCCGGGGGAAGGACCGUCUCCUCCUGCCCGAGAGGCAGCGACCUGCCCACACCUGCAGCCGUGGGAGGCCGCCGGGGCCCCGGACUGCUGCCCUCCUCCCGGGAACUGUGUCCGAAACACCCCUCCCCGGCUGCCUCCCACUAGCCGGGAAAAGCUAGCCGCCUUUUUUGUCUCGCCACAGCGCGCCUGUCCUGCACUGCACUUCGCUCUGCUAUGCUUGAAGACUCAUCUUUGUUUAAUUAAAUUACCAUUUGUUUUAUUUAAGGUUGAUGCUAACCAUUAUCCAUAUGUACGCACACACACUGCACUCCUACAAGAUGAGUUGACAGGGAUUUUUGUUUGUAUGUUUGUUUUUAAUCAAAGGAUAUAUAGCCAUUUAUGUUUUCUAAAUUACCUGUAUUUUCUUUAUUCGUUUUCUAUCAUUCUGAGUGAUCGUGGUAGUCAUGUGAGACACAGCUAAGGUUCAUUUCUGGCUUUUCUUUGACUUUUAGUUGCAUUUCCCCAUCCUUGUUGAAUUAAUAUUUUUGGACCUGUAUAACUGCAUCUUCUAAAGUUCUAAACUAUGCAAAACGCUAUAGUCACAGACGUGUCCCCCCUCUUGUCUCUUUUUUUCUUAUGAUUGAGUAUAAGAGUCCUGCAUAAAUACUGGAUACAAGUCCUUUAGAGACAUGCUUUUGCAGAUAUAUUCUCCCGAGUGUAUAGCAAUAGACAAUAGAUAUGAGAGUCUUGGAAAUAUGUGUUGUUAUUUUCAUAACAUCUGACUGAAGAGACAAUUUCCUUUUAUGUAAAAAUUUUAUGUCAAGUGCAAUAUCUCAUUUUUAGAAAUUUUAGGUUUCAUCUGCUGUAUCCUAAGAAUUCUUUCUCAACCACAUUAUAAAUAUUUUUCCAGUGUUUUCUUUAAAAUGUUUACAUGUUUGCCUUUAAAUUUACACCAGUAUUUAUUUUUCAUUGAUUUUUUAAAAUAUGGUGCCUGUGGUUUUCCGUUCCUCUAGUACAGUUUGUUUAAAAUACUACCCUGUGCUAUUGAAUUACCUUUGCACCUUUGUCAAAAAGCAAUUGACUACAUGCAUAGGACUAUUUCACUGUAAUUUAUGCUUAUGUUUAUUCUGAUAAUAUCCCACUCUAUUGAUUAUUGUUGCUUAAAUGUAAAUUUUGAACUCUAGUGUGAAUCCUUGGUUUUAUAAUUUUUUCAAAACUUUGGUCCAUUGCUCUUCUGUAUGUAUUUUAUAUCAAUUGACAAGAUUUACUAGAAUCAUGCUGGGAUUUUUAUUGGGAUCACAGUGAAUUUCUAGAUGAAUUUUGGGAGAUUGACAUGCUAACAGUAUCAAGUCUUUCAAUUCAUGAAUGUAGCUAUCUAUUUAUUUAGAUAUUGUUUAGUUUCUCUUAUUGAUGUUAGAGCUCAACAUAUAAAUCUGAGACAUUUUAAUUU